AAAAAAAAAAAAAAAAAAGAAAAAAAAAAAAAAAAAGUCAUUAAAAAAAAACAAAACAGAAAACCCAGCUUGAGAGCAUUGGAAAAAAAAAAAAAACAAAAAACCAUGAGCUGAAUGUCUAAUGGAUUUUAAGUCCAGUUCUCAGAACCACUAUACAGUAUGUGGCACAGCUACGUGCCUGCCUGGAAAGGUGCUGGAGGUCGUCACGGAAGCUGCUUUGCCUCCUGUCUGUGUCCCCUUUCCCUGCUACCAAAAAAAGCUCUUUCAAGGAUGGAGCUAAGGUCAUAAGUAAGUGAACGAACUUCCAGUCUUUGUAUCCAUUAACCGAAGCCCCCUCCACAUGAGAGGUUAUUAGAAGACUUUAUAGUGGGAUUAUGCUGACUGACUAUCACAAAUGCAAAUACUUACCUAAAUAGCAGCAGAAAAAAGCAGGGGACGUUUGCCACUUAUGUGGUGGGUCUGCGAGAUACAACAGGAUGUGACUGCUUUGGUGUUCUCUUUACUCUGUCCUUGGAGAGGUGUGAAAAGCUAUAUUGCUACAGGCAAUUUAUUUAAUAAUUGGAAGCCAUAUUGAUAAUGGAUGUGGUAAUAUUUGUAAAGUUUAAUCUACUUUAAGCAGCAGUAACUAAUGGAAUUUUUUUCCUUGAUCACAUAUGUAGCACUUUUGUUACUUUUUAAAGAUAUUUAUAUUUGAUAAAUCUUUUUUUCAUUUUGAGAAUUCAAAAUACCAAACAGUGAACUUGGGUUAUAAAGUCACCCUGUGAUCACCUUGUCAUCUAGUAGCAAAAUGAUGAACUAUUCAUGCAUCAAAGAAAAUUACAUCUGCUGGCCUUGGAUGAAAAUGAUCUCUUGGCAUCUCGAUUAAAGGACGUGCUGUCACUGUGGUGAGAUACUGAAUAUCCGCCAGCUUCUCGCUGGUCUCACUCCUCCACGUAAGGCAUAUGCUGAUGAGCUCGUCUCCGCGUCUGUUAAUCCUGCUUACGUCAGUGUAAGGAAGCCUUUGAGAGGCAUGAAAAUGCCACCUUAUAUGGGUCUGUGACUUUAUAUAGAGUUAUAGGCAGGACCUGGGCCUGCUCCUGUCCAUGGAUUUCAGGGGGAAAAUGUACAUAUUUUUUUCCAGCUUUCAAGAAUUGAAGUAAAAUGGAGCAGUCUUUUCUGUUUUACUAUAUUACUUGAACCAACAAAUUCAAGAGUAGCAUUCGUUAUUCUCAGGAAUGAUCCCCCCACUCAUUUUCUUGCUUGGUGCGUUUGACUUUUUAUUUCAAUUAGGAGAUUGUUAUCUUUCUUUCCUUUUAUAUUAUUUAGAGAAAAUAUACCAUAUCUUUCCAU
ensembl:lncRNA